UGGUAAAGUGAUUGUGGUCAUGCCUU
rnacentral:piRNA from 1 species